UAUUUUAACGAUAAGAAUUAUGUACAUCACUAUUAUUAUUAUUAACGAUUUAAAAUAUAAGUUUCAAUUGUUUUAUUUUAAUUCGAAAAUUUUCAUGAUUGGGAUUUCCUAAAUUAGUCUUCCAUAAGAUACUUUAUAAUAAAGUUGGAGAAUAUUUAUUGAUGGCUGAUCAACCAGAUAAUAAUAGACAGCCUGCAUACGUACGAUUUAAAAAUGGAACAUGCUAUGAUAUUGAAGUCAUAUGGAUUAACUUUCAUAAGAAAGAAAAAUCCUACUGUAUUUUACCUUCUGAAAAAUUUUUAGAUGUCAAUACUUAUGCUACACACCCGUGGAUAUUCAGAGAAUGUAUAUCAAAAAGUAGAAUGGUAGUUAAUGGUAAAGAAGUGUUUAUGGCAAGACCUUGGUUAGAAGAACAUAAACGUCUUAAAUUUAGUCAUCCUAUUAAUGUACCUUUAAGAACAAUGGUAUUAAUAGAAAUGCCAGUAAUUGAAUUACGUCAAUUAUGUUUGUUAAAUUUAGCUAAAAUUUUGACACAUGAAGAUGAAGUCAAAACAUUAGAAAUUCCUAUAAUUUUACAGAGGGAAUUGGUACAAAUGAUUUGUAACAAAGAGGAAUGUAAAAUGAAACUGACUAAUUAAAGUAUACUAUUAUGUAUCAUUAUUGAUAUGUUAAUAAGUUGCUUUAAUUAUAUUGUAUUGUUAAAGCUAAUCUUUCAACACCAAUUGGCAUACAAUUUUCAUUUUAUAAUGGUUUUGUAUUCUCUGUAUGAGACUGAAUGGUAUAAAAUUAUAAACUAACAAGGUAGUUAUGCUAAAUUUAUGUACGCAAUAAAGUAAAAGCCGAAAAAAAAUAUAAAUACAGUCAACAAGUUAAAAAGGUUAUCACAAUCUUUCAGAUAAUUCAUAAAGUAUGAAUUAUGAUCUGAUCUCUCAAGAACUUGAAACUUUUAUAAAUUAAUCACUUGUGAUUAGAUACAUUUUUAAAUAUCUCUUAGAAAUAAACAACAUAAUUUUAUGGCAAUUUGUGAGAUUUUGUGUUUAUGUAUUACAAUUUUAUCAAUAUUUUUAAAACCUAAAAAAGUAUACACUCGGUGUGUAUGCAAUGAGGCCCUAAAAUUUAAUUGAUGACUAAAAAAAGAUUCCUUUUUAACUAAAAAAAAUAUUAAGAUCCUUGCUAAAAUUUUUUCAUAAAGCUCUGCAAUAUCUAAUGUUGACCUUACCUAUACUUUUCAAAGAGAC